CCAGAGCUGCUCGCGGCCCCUUCCGUCACUCUUCUCGCCCUUCAGAAGUGCUGCUGCCUCUGCCCAGAACAGGCCCAGCCCGCCUCUCAUCCGCCACCCUCCUUCUGGCCUCCUACUCAUUCUCCAGAACUCAACGCAGAAUUUACCAGUUUGAAACAUCAACCUUCAGCUGCUGCAUUCUGAUCAAGAGAGUUAUUGACUAUUUCUAUUUAUAUUUCUUGGAGAGAUAUGGUACAUUUGACCACUUCAUUUCUACACAUGAUGAUACAAAAUAAUAAGAGCAACCAGCCUGCUAAGAACUCAAAGCCAGAUGGUGUAUAUGUGUGUCAUGCUGGGUUGAUGGUUUGGAAAUGCCAGCUCUGCAGAAUGGCUGGAGCUGAAUAAUGCUCCAAGUAUUCCAUUUUAUUUCCAGUAUUGGUUUAUUAGCUGUGAUAGAAAGAAUUUCUAAAUUGACCCCCAGAGAUGUCCCACUGUAAUCCUGGGAACCUGUCAAUGAAAGAGCUAU